AGUGAACGCUGGCGGUAGGCCUAACACAUGCAAGUCGAACGGCAGCACAGAGGAGCUUGCUCCUUGGGUGGCGAGUGGCGGACGGGUGAGGAAUACAUCGGAAUCUACUCUGUCGUGGGGGAUAACGUAGGGUAACUUACGCUAAUACCGCAUACGACCUACGGGUGAAAGCAGGGGAUCUUCGGACCUUGCGCGAUUGAAUGAGCCGAUGUCGGAUUAGCUAGUUGGCGGGGUAAAGGCCCACCAAGGCGACGAUCCGUAGCUGGUCUGAGAGGAUGAUCAGCCAACCUGGAACUGAGACACGGGCCAGACUCCUACGGGAGGCAGCGGUGGGGAAUAUUGGACAAUGGGCGCAAGCCUGAUCCAGCCAUACCGCGUGGGUGAAGAAGGCCUUCGGGUUGUAAAGCCCUUUUGUUGGGAAAGAAAUCCAUCUGGUUAAUACCCAGGUGGGAUGACGGUACCCAAAGAAUAAGCACCGGCUAACUUCGUGCCAGCCGCCGCCGUAA
rnacentral:rRNA from 1 species